AUUGAACGCUGGCGGCAGGCCUAACACAUGCAAGUCGAACGAGUGGCGGACGGGUGAGUAAUGUCUGGGAAACUGCCUGAUGGAGGGGGAUAACUACUGGAAACGGUAGCUAAUCCCGCAUACCAUCGGAUGUGCCCAGAUGGGAUUAGCUAGUAGGUGGGGUAAAGGCUCACCUAGGCGACGAUCCCUAGCUGGUCUGAGAGGAUGACCAGCCCCGCUGUGACUGGAACACGGUCCAGACUCCUACGGGAAGCAGGAGUGGGGAAUAUUGCACAAUGGGCGCAAGCCUUAUACAGCCAUUCCGCGUGUAUGAAGAAGGCCUUCGGGUUAUAAAGUACUUUCAGCGGGGAGGCGUUACCCGCGGAAGAAGCACCGGCUAACUCCGUGCCAGCCGCCGCGGUAAUUC
rnacentral:rRNA from 1 species